GAAGAUUCGAACCUGCCGCAGGUUCGGGUCGAACGCAGUGAGACAACGGAGCCGUUUACGGCGACGGCCCGUAGGGCGAGCGAAGCGAGUCAUCCUGCACGACCCACCA
rnacentral:sRNA from 1 species